GAGUAACACGUAUCCAACCUGCCGUCUACUCUUGGACAGCCUUCUGAAAGGAAGAUUAAUACAAGAUGGCAUCAUGAGUCCGCAUGUUCACAUGAUUAAAGGUAUUCCGGUAGACGAUGGGGAUGCGUUCCAUUAGAUAGUAGGCGGGGUAACGGCCCACCUAGUCUUCGAUGGAUAGGGGUUCUGAGAGGAAGGUCCCCCACAUUGGAACUGAGGCACGGUCCAA
rnacentral:rRNA from 1 species